UACGGAGGGAGCUAGCGUUGUUCGGAAUUACUGGUCGUAAAGCGCACGUAGGCGGCUUUGUAAGUUAGAGGUGAAAGCCCGGGGCUCAACUCCGGAAUUGCCUUUAAGACUGCAUCGCUUGAAUCCGGGAGAGGUGAGUGGAAUUCCGAGUGUAGAGGUGAAAUUCGUAGAUAUUCGGAAGAACACCAGUGGCGAAGGCGGCUCACUGGACCGGUAUUGACGCUGAGGUGCGAAAGCGUGGGGAGCAAACAGG
rnacentral:rRNA from 1 species